CGGGUACUGCUGCGCGCGCCAGGCACUGCAAUCCCUGGGGCCAAUACCGACUCUUUGGGAGCUGUCCCUUGCCGGGCUCUGGUCCGGGAACAUGGCGCCCACCUGCUGACGCAGGCCACAGAGGAUCGGAACGCCAGCGGCGUCGGUGGUCCCGCC
rnacentral:other from 1 species